rnacentral:lncRNA from 1 species
CCGGUGGGGCAUCAACCACGAGGUAAUCGAUGUCUCUCCAGUAGACGUCUUUCAAGAACUGUUUGAUGAGAGCGUUCUUGCGGGGACCUCUCCAGACCACAGCUUCGUCAGAGUUUGGGAGCAUGAAACCAAUGGACAUGACACCAAGGUUCUCUUUCACAUAGACAGGGGACCAUCCGAGGUUGCUCUGGUGAAUCUCGUGCCCUCCAAGGCCUAACAUUUUCGGCAUGCUUGGGCCGCAGAUAUCAAUGUCCAUAAGGCCUACUUGAUGGUCCAUUCCAGCAAGGGCAAAGGAGAGCUAAGCAGAGAAUGUGCUCUUGCCAACCCCACCUUUACCAGACAAAACAAGAAUCUUGUGCUUAACAGUGCUCAUCCUCUCUGCUAUGGCAACCAAAUCUGAAGGAAACACAAAGUGUCAGCGCUGAUAAAAAAAAAUCAACCAGUAAACAAGUGAGUCUUAGAUUCAAAACAUUAGGGUUUAGAAUUAAGAAGUGGGUUUUAGGAUUUAAAGUUUUAGGUUUGAGGAGUAGGAGAUAGAAUUUCAAAUUUUAAAAAUAAAAUAAAAUUAAAAUUUUCAAAAUAAAAAAAUGCUAUUUUGGUCAUUGAAUUUGAAUCUAUUUUUGUGACAAAAACUUUAAAAAAAAACUUAAAAAGUUUAUCCGAGAGAAUUGCCCUUAAGAGUACGUAACGCCUUGUUUUCAAGAGAAGAUGAACACUGUUUUGUAAUAUACGGUAAGAGUAUUAUUCUCAAUAGUAUACUCCUAGUUCUUAAUCAAUCUUGAUCCUUUUAACCUUCUUAUUUACUAAGACUUCCAACAUGUCCCUCGUAUCAUUCCGCAGCUUUGCAACUUGAUCUUUACGAUUCCCUUGCGCAUCAACCCGAAAUUUAGCUGCUAAGACCUGUUAGAAAAAACAACCAAAAUGAUGUUUAUCAGAAAAACUAGAAAGCUCCUAAACCCGGGAGAGAUUCGAUCAUUCGAGUGUGGUGGAACUUACUCGGCCACAGAUAUUGUCGACCCAUUCCUUUCGGGUGGCCCAAGGGAUGGCUUCGGCAUCUUUGCCACGAAGUUUCUGCAUCAAAUCUGUCACAUCCUUCCGAAGGGCAGAAACAUAAUGAGGAUGCCUAAAAAACCUGUCCAUUGCAAACAGUAGGAACAGUCAAAUAUCUUAUCACAUUUAAACUCACUUUUACUUUUCUAUUCAAACAAACAAAGAUAAAUAGUAGCAUCAUAUGACAACAAAAAUUUACAGUUCCUUCUUACCCUUUUAGACCGCCAAUGCUAGCGGAGCCCAAAGUUUCGGGCUUCUUCUUCGUUUUCGAGUUUCUUCUUCCUUCUAUUUCAGAUUUCAAGUCGUCAUUGUACUGAGGACAUUAAAAAAAAACUAAGAGGACAUGUAAUCCUACACUUUCAGAUCUAAAGCUAUCAAACGCUCAAACUCUACCUGUAAGCAAACCAGAUGCUAAAAAUUGGAUUAAGAUUGUGUUCCUCCAAAAAUCCCAAAAUUUACCUCACGAAACUGGGAUGAACAACGAGAUUUCGAUGAGCAGAUGAACAAUCGACACAGAGAAAUAUCCCGUAUGUUAUCGAUGCCCACGUCGGAUUAUUUGCACCACAAUCGUAGCAGACCUGAGAAGCAAAACCAAAAAAAUCAGCAUUCUGUUACAUUUACUGAUACAACAGUACACAUUUGAUUAAGUGAAAUGGCAAUGAGCUUCUAGAAGGAUGAGGUGGAUCUUAUGCAUAUGUGCAUAUUAUUUUAUGCUGAAUAAACACACCACGUGAGAGGCAUGUGCUGAGGAGAGCUUCACGCAGAGUGUGUGACAGGAGAGGGACUUUUCUAUAUAAGCAGGGAGAGAGGAGAGAGGAGAGAGUGAGACUUAUUUAGAGAUUAGAACAAAAGAGUGAAAGGGGAAGUGAGGGACUCCAUUAAUAAUUCUCUCACGGUUCUCUCACGGUUCUUGAGUACUUGUAAACAGUUUAUCAUCAAUAUAAUCGUUAUCCAGCUUUGUAUUUGCUUUGUUCUCUGUUUGGGAAUACAUUUCACAUAACACAUUCCCGAUCCAAAAACUAGACAGACACACACAAUCAAAUGACAGCAAACUCAAAAAGAAAAGAGUAGAAUUAAUUGAUGAAGAUCUCAAACCUUGUUGUCAGAUUUUUCUGUAAGAUGUCCGAAAAUAUUAGACCACCCGCAUCGAGGGUUUAUGAGAGAGUCAUGGGCUCGGUAUCAUAGGCCUUUUCGAUUAAAAGAAAUGAAUAAAUGGGUUUCAACCCGUGAACCGGGUCUUCCAAGUGAGCCCGUAUGAUACGGGGUCAUGCCACGCGGCGCAGAGGGAGUGGCUACGCGAUCUCGCGUGUUGAGUGAAAAAAAAAGGGUUUCGCGUGAAAGAUCCCAUUUUCCCUUCUCUCUUCGAAAUCUAGGGUUUCUCCGUCUCUGAGGCGAUUUCGUGUCGGAGUCCAGAGCCGGAGAUUUUCUCGAUCAAUUCGUCGUCGGAGUCACUCGUAAACGCUCUCAGGUGAGUCUCAAUCACUCCGGGACGAGAUAGCUUCGAUUUGAUCUCGAGAGGUUUCUAGGUUAAGGAUGUCGUUUUGGGGGUUUCGUCUUAGGGUUGGAAAUCGAGAAGGGGGUUUCGAUUUCUUGGUUAAAAUCGACAAACGGUUUCCUUUUAGGGUUCGUUUAUCGUGGAUUUCAUUUCGAUUUGGGGGUUUCGUGUAAGGGUUCGAAAUCUAAAAGGGGGUUUUAAUUUCUUCGUUUAAAUCAACAUACGGAUUUCUUUUACUGUUCGUUCAUCGUGGAUUUUAAUUGGAUUUGGGGGUUUUUAGUUAGUCUUUCAAAUUUUUUUUUUUUGUUUCUCGGUUGCUUCUGUUCUAAUUAUUUGUUUUCCUGAUACAGAUGGAUCCCGAAGCAGAGAUAAGAGACACAAAGAGAAGAAAGGAGCACAUCGAUAUGCUUUCAUACGUGUGUGAUUCAGAACACGGGAUUCCGACGAGGUGUCCCUGUGGUGGGAGUAUAAUUCACGAGGUUCGUGGGAAGGAGGAAUACGACACUCUCCCCGGCAAGCGUUUCUUCACCUGCAUAAACUACGAGGUAAAAAACGGGUUCUUGUCUUUUAAAUUAUGUCUUCUGUUUUUGUCUGUUAAUUAACAAUCUGAUAUAGUUUAUGUGUUGUUACCAAGGCUGAUGGUUUUCAUUAUCGUCAGCCUUGGGUCAUUGGUGUGCAGGAGCAUAUCGAACGGCUCACAAGUCGUGUGGAGGAGGUGGAGGCGGUGAUCAAGUGGCUGCCGGAGGUGAAUAAUAAGAUUAAGAGUCUGGAGGUAAUCUGACUUCCCACUUUUGAAUUUUGUUUUGUAAUUUUUUUCUUAUAUUUUAUACAGUGACUAACACCAUCUCAUUGUCAUUUCCUUGUACAGGCAGAGGUAAAAGCCCUCACUGUGGAGGUUGAUAGGCUCACUGGGAAGGUUUAUAACCUGACCGUGCAGGUGGAUCACUUGGAGAAAUGCUGCUUCGACUGAAAACACAAAGGUAACCACACUAUCCCUAGAGUUGUUGCCUAAUGAAUUUGAACUUGAACUAGAGUAGGUUAGAGUAGUAGUAGAAUUUAAACUUGAACUGAACCAGAACUGAAGUAGUUGUGUAGUUAAGUUAAGUGUAAUCAAUUUUUGAAUGGUCUGUGUGAACUUGAAUUUAAACUUCAACUGAACCAGAACUAAAUUUAAACUUGAAAUAAUUAAUUUGAAAACCUGAUUUGAUGUUUAUUGAAUGGUCUGUGUGAAGUAGUUGUGUAGUUAAGUUAAGUGUAAUCAAUUUUUGGUGGUUAGAAGGUGUUUACUUCCUUGUACUUUCAAACCCAAAAGUAGUUUAAAAACCUAGCUAAUCGACAUCUUAAAACAGAAACGAAAACUUAAAAACUUCAAUACUCAACCAAAAUGGAUCCUUUUCCCCUAAACUCUCCCGGCUUUGUUAACCUGCUUACUUCCCAGACCACUCAGCCAAUAGAAAUAGGAUCUUCUGAGGUUCCUAAACCUCCGGAAAGGAGGAAGUGGACAACCAAAGAAGAUUUGGUGUUGAUCAGUGCUUGGUUGAACACCAGCAAGGAUCCAAUAACCAGUAAUGAGCAGAAGCUAGGAGCAUUUUGGAAGAGAAUAGAGGAGUACCUGAAUGCUAGCCCUCUGCUCGUUGGCUCUAUUCCUAGGGAGUGGAGUCAAUGUAAGCAGAGGUGGGGAAGGGUUAAUGAGCAGGUGUGUAAGUUCGUGGGAUGUCAUGAAGCUGCUCUGAAGGAGCAGGCGAGUGGACAUAAUGAGAAUGAUGUCAUGAAGGUGGCUCAUGACAUCUUCUUUAAUGACUACAAAGCCAAGUUCAUUCUUGAACAUUGUUGGAGGGAGCUUCGGUUUGAUCAAAAAUGGAGAUCACACAGUCUGACAUCAAAUGGUGCAAAGGAGAAAAGGAAGGAAACUGCGGAUGAGGUGGGUCGCGAGGAAAAUGUUAGACCUCCCGGAGUCAAGGCUAGCAAAGCAGCAAAACGCAAGAAGCAUGGCAAUGAAGCAGCGUUUGAUCAGAUCGAAACCAUUCUAGCAGCCAAGAAUAUGUUAUCCAAACAGAAAAUACUUGAUAGGUUGCUAGGAAAAAACGCUGAUACACUUACAGAUCAAGAGCUUGCUCUAAAAAACAAACUCAUAUCUGAAUUGCUUUAAGUUGGUGAGUGGUUAUUUAUUUUUUGAAAUUUAUAGUAGGUUGCUAGGAAAUGCAGUGUAUGAUGUUUGUGUUUAAAUCUUUUCCUUGAUGUAUAUUGAUAUUGUAACUGUUGUGCUUUGUAGGACACGGGUUCAAGGAGGAGGAUGCGUGGAUGGUUGCAGGUCUCUGUUUCUUUAUGUAUCAAAUCAAGUCACGGGUGGUAAUGUAGUAGUAGGUGGUUGUAGUGGUAGGUUAUGUAAGAUGGAAUCACGGGAGAGUGUAGUGUUUUUCAACUUUCUACACUCGUUUUAUGUAUCAAAUCAAGGGUAUGUCCCCACGGCUUUGCUUUUGUACUCACGGGUGUAUGUACCCACAUGCUACUUGCUUCAAUGUUUUUCUAUAUAAAUGACUAUGUGUUUCAUUCUAUUUAUCUCAUUCAUGCAUUUUAUCAAAACUAUCUUACCAUCAGCCAUACUUUUAUCUAAACUAUCUCACCAUCUCGUAAUCUCACCAACCAACACCACUACGAGAAUCACCAACCAACACCACGAGAAUCACAACAACAAUCAAACAAGAAUCACCAAUCAACACAAGGAAUCAACUCUACUACUCCUCAACCCCACGGAUCAUCUCUACCAUUCAACAGAGGUAAGUUGAAAACCAAAAAUUCUAAGUAAUGAACACAUCCUUAAAUAAUGAAAUUCUAAAUUCUAUAUUAUCAGAUUUAAAACCAAAAAAAGGUUUAUAAUGUUAAAACCAAAAUAAUAUUAAAAAAAAAACUAAGGUUAAAACCCAAAAUAAAAUUGAAGAGAAAUAGAGAAAUAUACUGAUUUAUAAUUUUAAUGAAAAACUUUACUAAGGUUAAAACCAAAAUAAUAUAAAAAAAAAACUAAGGUUAAAACCCAAAAUAAAAUUGAAGAGAAAUAGAGAAAUAUACUGAUUUAUAAUUUUAAUGAAAAACUUUACUAAGGUUAAAAAAAAAAUAAUAAAAAAAAAACUAAGGUUAAAACCCAAAACAAAAGUUUAUUAAAAAAUCCCUCCCUAUUGCCUUUUGUAGGAAAAAUAUUACAAUAAAUAUCAUCAACAAUGUCUUCCUCAUCAAGUGAUGAAGCGGAUGAAGUUUUUGAUGAAUUGGUCGAUGAAGUAGUUGAUAAUUUCAUCGAUACGAUAAUUGAUGGUCAACCCAACAAACCAAAGAGGCGAGCUUAUAUUGAAAGAGAUCGAGAACUAGGACACAUUCGACUAUGCAACGACUAUUUCAGUAAUAAUCCAACGUACACACAAGAUAUAUUUAGGCGGCGGUUUCGAAUGAACAAGCCAUUGUUCCUUCGCAUUGUCGACCGUCUAAGUACUGAAGUUCCGUACUUUCAGCAAAGAAGAGAUGCUACCGGAAGGAACAGGCUAUCUCCACUUCAAAAGUGUACGGCAGCGAUACGUAUGCUCGCAUAUGGUCAGUCAGGAGAUACAUAUGACGAAUAUCUCCGGAUGGCUGACAGUACAUCACGUUUAUGUUUGGCAAAAUUCACUGAUGCAAUAAUACAAUUGUUUGGGGAUGAGUAUCUACGAACACCUACAGCCGAGGAUCUUCAGCGAUUACUCGAUAUUGGAGAGGUACGGGGAUUUCCGGGGAUGAUAGGCUCCAUCGACUGUAUGCACUGGGAGUGGAAAAACUGCCCAACAGCUUGGAAAGGUCAGUUCACACGUGGUUCGGGAAAGCCGACAAUUGUCUUAGAAGCCGUGGCAUCACAAGAUCUUUGGAUUUGGCACGCUUUUUUCGGCUUACCAGGUACCCUAAAUGAUAUCAAUGUUCUUGAUCGGUCUCCAGUUUUUGAUGACAUCUUACAUGGUCGAGCCCUUAAAGUGAAGUUCAAGGUCAACAACCACACUUAUCGUAUGGCCUACUAUCUUACCGACGGUAUUUAUCCUCCAUGGGCAACAUUUAUCCAAUCCAUCCCACUUCCUCAAGGUCGUAAAGCACAUAAAUUUGCAGAAAUGCAAGAAUCCGCCAGAAAAGAUGUCGAACGGGCUUUUGGAGUAUUGCAAUCGAGGUUUGCAAUUGUUAGGAACCCAGCUCUACAAUGAGACAAGGAAAGGAUAGGAAAAGUAAUGAUAGCUUGUGUCAUAUUGCACAAUAUGAUAGUAGAGGAUGAACGAGACGGAUACGCUCCAAUUGAUACAUCUGAGUUUGAGACAGGACAGUCUAGCAGAAGUUCGCAGGCGAGAAGCAGAGAUAGUGUUAAUGUCACCCCUGAUAUGUUAGCCAUGCGGAGAGAAGUUCGAGAUGGCGACAAGCAUCAUCGUUUGAAAGCUGAUUUAGUGGAAAAUAUUUGGCAAAUGUUUGGUGAUGAAGAUGAAUAAAUAAGUUAUGUAUGUUAAAAAAAUUUCUCAAUUUAUGUAAUGUACUUUUAAUGUAUUGAAUAAAAUGUUUUCAUAAUUUUAAUAAUAUGUUUUAAUAUUUUAUUCAUAUUUUCUGAAUAUUUUAAAUUUUUUUUUAAAAAUUAAAAUUAUUAUUUUAUUUCUAUGAACUCCUUCUUCGGGUUCACUAAUGCAGAAAACAGCAUAUCCGAAUUCAUAACUGUUCAUGGGCCCACGAAAAAAUAAUAAAAAAUGUUGGUGAACUCCAAAGAGGGGUCCACCAAUGCUCAUGCUCUUAGAUUUGUCGAUAAGAUUGUCAGAAGCCAUCGCAGAGUACAAGAAGAAAACAAAAUCUGAUCAGAAGAGGGAGAAUAGGUCACCUUAAAUAAUUAAGCCUAGAUAUGGGUCAACAACAUACAAUUGAAUUCGAAAUAUGCUUAUACGUAAAAGCCCAUUAGAAAGUAAAAAAAAACUAGCAAAAAAAAAAGGAUAAAUAAUUAAAUUUUAUAAUACUUUAUUAAUUUAUAAAGUUAUUUAUUUUUGUAUAUUAUAGAAAUAUAUUUUAUAGUAAAUUAAAAAUAACUAAUCACAAUCUACACUAUUAUUUGAUAAGUGAAUUUACUUACUUGUCAUUUUUUUCAUGAUUUUAGUUAAUUUACUAGUUAAUCCAACGGUUAGAUCAGAAGUUAUGUCCGUUUUACUGAAUAGUGGUCUUGAGGAGUUGAAGGAAUGUCGAUCGACGGCACACCUUUGGUGUCGAUCGACGCUGAUUCCAAAACACAGGCCGAGUAUAUUUGAAGAUCUACUUAGGUCUAGAAGUAACCACAAAUUACCAGAAUACCCAUGGACAACCUAAAAUCCUAUUUAUGUAUUUUCUAAGCUAUGUUGACGACUACGCUUUCUUUUAUUCAUAGUUCUAAGUUAGGAGAGAACAGAGAAACUCCUUCAGAUUCCUUCUGAAACUCCUUUGGCUUUUAUAUUUAUUCUAUUGCAUCUAUUCAUCUAUGAUUUUCUGUGACAACUAUCAUGCUUGAAUAGAUUUAUCAUGUUAGAUUUAGGGUUCAGAUAGUCAUAAGGGAUUAGUCACCUAUAAAAUUGAUGAGUUGUCUUGAUAUGAAUCAAUUGAAUUGUAUUUAUUGCUUUUGUUCUAGAGUAGCUAACAAAAAUCCUUGAUAUCACUCAAAUUAUCCGAAAAAGUGAUUUGUACUCUCUCAAAUAAGAGGUUGAGUUGUAGCACUUAGAGAUCGAAUUCACAGGGAGCUAAAGCACACAAAAGAUCUAGCAGUUAUGUGGUUAAGCAAGGCAAACAUGUUUAAAUUAAAUAGCAAGGAUGAGCAAAGUAAUUGUUUGGUUGAUUUAUUGAGGUUUUAAGACAAAUAUGAAAAGCGUUAGGGUUUCUAUUGAGACAAUCAAGAUUAUAGAGAUAUAGAGACUAAGUGGAUGUUGGAUAUUCUAAAACUCAAACUAAAGACUAGUCGAUCAACUUCCGUAUUUUUAGACUAUCUAUUGUCAUCAGAUCUAAGACUUCACUUGUCGUUUAUUGGUCUUGAGAAAGUGUCGAUCGAUACCAAUUAUGGAUUGUCGAUCGAUACAACUUUCAACCCAUCGAUGCAACUAUUGAGUUAUCGAUCGACGUUCUUUCUAGUAAGCUUUACCGUACGAGUUUGAUUUGUUCACUAGGUUAAACUAAAUCAGUUGUCGCUUGUUUCUAUCAAUCCUAUCACAAUGUAAACUAGAUCAGAUAAAUGACCAUGCUUCCGCCUUGCGCCCUAAUAUCUAGCAAUCUCGCUGUGCCAAGAAGACCCUUGCCAAGUAUAGAGUAAUGCCUGAAUAUGAAAGACUGUGAAUGCAUGAAGAUACACAAAACUAUAACGAGCAACAGAGUAAAGGCGAAACAAAAUUAUUACUUUUUUAGUAGGUCUUGGACUAUCAACGCUGGAAUCCAGUAGACAGGGGGUCUUGGCGAUGGACUAUCAAAACUAUAAGUUUGGACUAGUUUCAGUUUUCGCCUUAAAUUUAUGCAUUUAUCAAAACAACCCCUCGAUAGCCAAAUACUCUAAUGAAAUUCAACGAGAGUAAAUAUUAUAGUCGACAAGAUUUAAUGGUCCACUCUCAUAAUAAAAAUCUUAUUACACAUGUGAAGCCUACACAACACCUUCACAGCAAAGUCCAUUGUCUAUCUACAGAUCCAACCAAAGGAUCUGUUUAGUGGGAGUCUUAAACUUCACUCGGUCAUCGAAGCAAGGACUUUCUGUAUGAUGCUCUUCAGCGCAGGUGCGCUAACAGAACACUUGUUGUUCCCCUCAAAGCACGACUUACCUUGCUCUGCUGCUUUGCAAAGCUGUGGAUCCAAUGGAACUUUCCCAAGAAACGGCACUCCCAUUUCCCUGCACAUCCUCUCUGCACCGCCUCCACUGCUGUCAAACACUUCGCUGCAAGCCAAGACGUUGAGAAGCUCUGGUGCGUUCUCUCUCAAGCAAGAGAUUACCUUUUGCGUCACGUCAACGGAAGAACCAAUCUCCAUGAACUUGACAUCCGCCAACGGCUGAGACAAACCGCUCAUGUUCUCCACCACUCCUAACACCGGGACUCCCACUUUCUUGCAAAAGCUCACCUCUUUCCUGACAUCGAUCAAGGAGACUUCCUGUGGGGUGGUGACGAUGAUCGCACCGUCGAUCCCAGUGGCUUGAAGGUACUGGACGAUGGAGAUGUGCUCGUCCGAAGUUCCCGGUGGGGCAUCAACCACGAGGUAAUCGAUGUCUCUCCAGUAGACGUCUUUCAAGAACUGUUUAAUGAGAGCGUUCUUGCGGGGACCUCUCCAGACCACAGCUUCGUCGGAGUUUGGGAGCAUGAAACCAAUGGACAUGACACCAAGGUUCUCUUCCACAUAGACAGGGGACCAUCCGAGGUUGCUCUGGUGAAUCUCGUGCCCUUCAAGGCCUAGCAUUUUAGGCAUGCUUGGACCGCAGAUAUCUAUGUCCAUAAGGCCUACUUGAUGGUCCAUUCCAGCGAGAGCAAA